rnacentral:rRNA from 1 species
AGCAGCCGCGGUAAUUCCAGCUCCAAUAGCGUAUAUUAAAGUUGUUGCGGUUAAAAAGCUCGUAGUUGAACUUCGGGGUUCACCCAUUGGUCAGGCUUAAUUGUCUGCACUGGUGAGAUGAGUCUCUACCUUCUGAGGAACUUUCAUGCCAUUUAUUUGGUGUGGUUGGAAAUCAGGACUGUUACUUUGAAAAAAUUAGAGUGUUUAAAGCAGGCUAACGUCUGAAUACAUUAGCAUGGAAUAAUGAAAUAGGACGGACUGAUUCUAUUUCGUUGGUUUCUAGGAUCACCGUAAUGAUUAAUAGGGAUAGUUGGGGGCAUUAGUAUUCAAUUGUCAGAAGUGAAAUUCUUGGAUUUAUUGAAGACUAACUACUGCGAAAGCAUUUGCCAAGGAUGUUUUCAUUAAUUCAAGAACGAAAGUUAGGGGAUCGAAGACGAUCAGAUACCGUCGUAGUCUUAACACUAAACUAUGCCGACUAGGGAUCGGACGAAGUUAAUUUAUAAUGACGUCGUUCGCACGU